ensembl:rRNA 5S_rRNA 5S ribosomal RNA
AUAUUACAUCCCUGAAUACACCUGAUCUCCUCUGCACUUGGCAGCUAAGCAGAGUCAGGCCUGGUUAGUACACGAAUGAGAAACUACAGUCUUUCUAGGCUGUU